UACGAAGGGGGCUAGCGUUGCUCGGAAUUACUGGGCGUAAAGGGCGCGUAGGCGGUUCUAUAAGUCAGGCGUGAAAUUCCUGGGCUUAACCUGGGGGCUGCGCUUGAGACUGUGGGACUUGAGGUCAGAAGAGGGUCGUGGAAUUCCCAGUGUAGAGGUGAAAUUCGUAGAUAUUGGGAAGAACACCGGUGGCGAAGGCGGCGACCUGGUCCUUGACUGACGCUGAGGCGCGAAAGCGUGGGGAGCAAACAGG
rnacentral:rRNA from 1 species